GUGGCGCGAGGGUGCGGCCGGAGCUCCAGUGGCGCAAUCGGUUAGCGCGCGGUACUUAUAUGUCAGUGCUAGGCGUAAGCGAUGCCGAGGUUGUGAGUUCGAUCCUCACCUGGAGCACUUCUUUUUUUAACUCAUCUACCUCUUUUCUGGUGUUCUCUCAUCAGUUUAGAAGUCUUCACAUUUUAUAAUUUCAAUCAAAUGUUUUGGCUUGUUUGAGACAGGGUCUCACCAUGUAACUCUCUGGCUGGUCUGGAAGUCAUUAUGUAGACCGGGCUGGCCUCGAACUCACAGAGAGCGCCUGCCACUGCCUCUGCCUCUGCCUCUGCCUCCCUAGUACUGGUAUUAAAGACGUGCGUCACUGUACCCGGAAACUACAGAAUUUUUGAA
rnacentral:lncRNA from 1 species